GGGGCAGGAGACUGCAGCGGAGCUGCCGCCGCUGCAGCAUCAGACACUGUCUAGCGCGCGGUCCCGGGAGAGCCCAGGUGUCCAAAAAAACCCAAGACCCCACAAAAAAGCAAGCGAGGACUAGGCUCCCAAGGAGAAGGUGCAGCCCGCCUGUCAUUUUUCUGCUUGAAAGGAGACAACCCCUCAAUCCUCCGGCCCUCUUUGCAAAAUCCUGACUCAUUAUAGAAAAAAGAUCACACUGCCAGGCGCCCAGAAACAUUUCUUCAUCAUGGUCACGCCACAAGCUAAACAAGAGGCCACAUCAAGGGGGGGGGCAGGGGGAGAAGGAGAGAGAGAGAGAGAAAAAAAUCCAUAAAGAUUAAAAGCAAAAACAAAAAAACAAAACAAAAAAAAAAACAAAACAAAAAAAUCCUCUUCCGUUGAAACAGAAAAAGAAAAGUGCCGGAGUCAAAUCAGCAGCCCGGAGACAACUACAGAAGAUCCACGCAUUGUUGCCACAGACACCUCUCCCCUCUCCAUGCUCAUUUCUGCAACAUUGUUACAAAGAGGCAGCGCUGCCUGGAGUUGGGGAUCGCCGGCACCCGGCUUCGCAACUCCGCCGGGCUCCUCGGCAGGGAGCCCUGGGGGCGCGGGUCCUUGCACAGGACGGGGGCUGAGCCCAGGAGCCUCUCAAAAGGCUUUUUUUUUCCUAGAAACUACCUCCAAAUAUAGUAACAGGGAAGGGGCAUUCCUAGAAAUUCAGGAGACGUCAGAAAGGGAAGACUUGUGAAAUUCAGCCUCACUUCCUGCAGAGGGCUCCUAGCAUAGAAAAAAAAAUCAAGUGAGCAAUAAAGUGCUUUUCAUGCCUCUCUGAUCAGAUAAUAGUUAAAAAAAGAAGAAUGGCAAAGCACUUAACUCACAUUGCUCAGAUAAGAUCUAGGAGUGUCAUAUGGAGGAAAGCUAAUCAGUAACCCCCUUUCUUCAUUUUCUACUAAUGUUUAUAGAUGUCUGCCUCCUGUGUUUACUUUUUUUCCCUGUCUGUGUCCUCACAGCAGACACAUGCACAAAGCAAAUACAAGGAAUACACAAAUUACACACACACACACACACACACACACACACACACACACACACACACACACACACACACACACACACGGCAAUAAUAAUGCUUGCUUACAUCACAGGGGUAUUCUAAGCUUAGCAAAUGUUUACGCAAUAUUUUCUACAUGAUCUGUGGAUGCCAUCUUGCAGACUUCAGUUGCAUUAAUGCAUCUUGCAAACUUUAGUCACAUUUAAACUGCUGAUAAACGUAUGCAAAAUUGUUACUGCAAUUGUUAUUGCUCAGGUGAAUAGGAAUGUGCAUGAUCAGCCUCUGUUUAGGGCCUCAGUCCUGUGAAAGGCUGUCACUGUCACUUGCCAAAGAUUAACAGAAGUUGAAGGUGCUUAGCAACUCACAAAAUAGGUCAUAAAUGCCCUAUAUAAAGCAAUUUGAACAACACUCCUGUGACAUAGAAUCAACUAUUACUGUUUUUUCCUCAUAAAUCUUUAUGUUUACCUUGUAUAUGCUUUACAUCUAUCUGAUGUUCCAACCCAGUCCUUCAGCAUUUCUGAACUCGUGAAUAGUCCCAAUGAAGCACUAAAAAUACUUUAUUUAACUCAUAGAAAUGUAGAAAUGUUGCAUGACUUAAUGUUUGUAAAGGGUUCUAAGAUUCCCAGAAGGAACUAUAGAUGUGAAAGUGCUAUUAUUUAUUGAUAGCAAUGGAUUCCUAAUUUAGAAAAACUAUCCAGCAAAAAGCAAUGACUACUGUAGAAACCAUCAUGAAUAGCUUUUGGCAAAAGGGUUUAAACAUGUUUAACUUUUGUUGGUUAAUUGGAUUUUCAUAAUUAACCCCCUAUUGAGUAGGUGAAAUUCUUGCUUUUGUUCUUCACAUUUUCAAUACAAUUUUUAAAAACCUUCCUGUCGCCACGUCCCCAGCAUCAAGUACAACGAAGAUGCUGGUGUUUGGCUCUAUGCUCUCACUUUGUUUUUAGUAGUUUAUAAAAUAUUGCUAUUAAUCACUGAAGUAUUGAAAGAUGCAUAGUAGUAUGCACAAAGUCUCUCUGACGUUUCCUUUAAAGUGUCCUCUAACAUUUACCUGUUACCUCUUUACUGAAAAAGCAAUGGCAUAAAGAUACAGAGCUAACUGUUGAACAUUUAUACAUUUUCAUUAGUAAUUAUACCUGUUUAGAAGUGGAUUAAAAGAACACUUUCUAAAUAAUCUUUUUGGAAUUUAAAACAACGCUUUAGAUAAUUACAAAAGGUAUUUCUGAGAUGGCAGUUUGUUGCAACAUAGUUUUGCCACUCAAAUUAAUACCCUCCAUAUGAGGAUGACAAGCUGAAGUUCAGAAUCUUUUGAUCAUUAUAAAAUGUAUUUGCUGUCCUCUGUUGGUCAUAUUGGUUGUCACAUGUAAAAUUAAAUUAGCUAGGAAAUAAAGCUCAGUCCUAUAAA